UACGUAGGGGUGCGAGCGUUGUCCGGAAUUACUGGGCGUAAAGAGCUCGUAGGUGGUUUGUCGCGUUGUCCGUGAAAAACUCACAACUCAAUUGUGGGCGUGCGGGCGAUACGGGCAGACUGGAGUACUGCAGGGGAGACUGGAAUUCCUGGUGUAGCGGUGGAAUGCGCAGAUAUCAGGAGGAACACCGGUGGCGAAGGCGGGAUCCUGGGCCGUAACUGACGCUGAGGAGCGAAAAGCAUGGGGGAGCGAACAGG
rnacentral:rRNA from 1 species